GACGAACGCUGGCGGCGUGCCUAAUACAUGCAAGUCGAACGCACUCUCGUUUAGAUUGAAGGAGUUUGCUCCUGAUUGAUAAACAUUUGAGUGAGUGGCGGACGGGUGAGUAACACGUGGGUAACCUGCCCUAAAGUGGGGGAUAACAUUUGGAAACAGAUGCUAAUACCGCAUAAAACCUAACACCGCAUGGUGUAGGGUUGAAAGAUGGUUUCGGCUAUCACUUUAGGAUGGACCCGCGGUGCAUUAGUUAGUUGGUGAGGUAAAGGCUCACCAAGACCGUGAUGCAUAGCCGACCUGAGAGGGUAAUCGGCCACACUGGGACUGAGGCACGGCCCAGACUCCUACGGGAGGCAGCAGUAGGGAAUCUUCCACAAUGGACGAAAGUCUGAUGGAGCAACGCCGCGUGAGUGAAGAAGGUUUUCGGAUCGUAAAACUCUGUUGUUGGAGAAGAAUGUAUCUGAUAGUAACUGAUCAGGUAGUGACGGUAUCCAACCAGAAAGCCACGGCUAACUACGUG
rnacentral:rRNA from 1 species